rnacentral:rRNA from 1 species
GUUAACGCUGGCGGCGUGCCUAACACAUGCAAGUCGAACGGUUCUAAGCGCGAGCUUAGGAUAGUGGCGAACGGGUGGACGUAAAAGGUAGGAAUCUACCCCUUGGACGGAGAUAGCUACUGGAAACGGUAGGUAAACUUCGAUAAGCCCGAGAGGGGAAAGUGGUGAGACAGCCGAGGGAUGAGCCUACUCUCCAUCAGGUAGUUGGUGAGAUAAAAGCUUACCAAGCCGAUGACGGAUAACCGGUGUGAGAGCAUGAACGGUCACAAGGGCACUGAGAGACGGGCCCUACUCCUACGGGAGGCAGCAGUGGGGAAUCUUGGACAAUGGGCGAAAGCCUGAUCCAGCGACGCCGCGUGGAGGAAGAAGUCCUUCGGGAUGUAAACUUCUGAACUAGCCGAAUAAAAGGCCUGUGGACACACAGGAGAAGAAAGUAGGCUAGGAAAAGUCCCGGCUAACUACGUG